GCUCAGUUUGUUAGGCCAUUACUUUGGUAUAAUAAAAUAUCCAGCUGUAGGAGUUUGUUGACUCUGUCAAUAGGUUGUCAAUAGCAUCAAUCCACAUGGGGAACUAGCUAUAGUAUGGUUGGAAGACAACUGUAAAGGUGCUAGAAAAUAGCUGUAAAAUAACCAUCUACAUCUUGAGAUCACAUCGGUAUUUGACCAACGUCCCUCCUGGCAGGUCGGAUCGAUAUCCAUCUAAGCUGAAUAGAACCAGAUCGAUAUUUGACUGAGCUGACUUGAACCAAGUCGGCAAUAAACUGAUCUGAGCCAGGAACAAAUCUUGGUUGGUAUAAUACUCUGAUGAUCUUUUCUAAUGCCCCCAUGUGGCCAGAGGUCAGUUAAUAGCUCCAACACAAUGCCCUCAACUUUUCAGACCUGAGGUGUGAUUUUUCCACAUCGAGUGUG
rnacentral:lncRNA from 1 species